GCUUCCCAUUCUGGUCUGCUUAUGCAAAUGAGGGAUGUAGACUUCUUUAGUUCUGAUUGGCUGACACUUGUUGAAUUCUGAUUGGUCGACGCAGGUCAUGGUCUAUUGGUUGAUUGAAGCAGGGUAAACAGAAACAGACGGCUGGGUGAAAGUCCCAGAGUUAAUCAGCGUGGGCGUGUUCCAGCGACGCAGGCAGGUGUACAAAUGUCCCUGGCUUUUUGCUGCAAAGAAAAGCAAGUGUGAAUUUAAGAACAAGAUUCAUUGCCUGAGAUUUCCCCAGGCAACACAUAAAGGGAGCUUGAUUGCCAGCGUUAGAUAUUCAGCCAUGUUCAGCACUGGACAGCAACCAGCAAGCCGGAGUGCCCAGUAUGGGGAAGCCAAGUAAUCUAGAGAAAAGCUCUCACUUUGAUAGCAGGGAGGUGGACAAAAAUAAACAUGGCUGGAGAAAGGCAGGAAUCAAGACAAAAACUGGGAAGUAUUUUUCGAUUGGAAAUUCUAUUUUUUUCCUUAAUAUCCAAACAGAGUUUUCAUGUCUAAUUAAGAAACCAUUAUUUUCAGACCUGUUAUGCCCUCCUAAUAAGAGCAAUCCUUGUCUGUUCCCCUCAUGGCAGCCUUAUUCUCCUUGUCUGACAUGCAUUUCCCCAUGAUUAGUACAGAUUCCAUACCCUCUAUUUUUCCUCCAACUCCUUCUUUGGCACGGCCUCCCCGCCUUCCUCUCCCUCACUAUGGUUUGAUCACUUAUCUCAGGAAGGAAAUCUCACCAUGCUGGAGAGCUCCCACUCACCUAAGGAAAAUAACCCGGUGAGGGCAACUGGGAUGCUGUAUAUUGUCCUUGUCUCCUGGGCUCUCUGCUAGCCACUGACUAAGCUGUAAUUUAGUGUUGAGAUUGCUUUCGCUCUGGGCUUCUCUCACUAAGUGUGUUUAAUCUGCUGUAAAAUUGUUUUCAUGGUUGCAGUCAGUGUUAUAGUAACUGUUUAACAAUGUGCAUUUCUUUGCUUUGAAAAGGGUCUUGGCCGUCUCUAUGCAAAUUAGCACUUGUCUAAUGCCAUUAAGCAUGGUUCCUGGAAAAGCAACAACUGGAAUGUUGGAUAAACUUGUGCACUAGGUCUGGAGGAGGAAACUGGGAUAAGGAAACAGAAACUCCAUCUUGGAUGCACAGCACAGAUCUUGCCUGGAGACACGUGAUCUUCACCUUAACCUGUGGCCUUGUGUUUGGGAUGGGAAUGUCAAGGUUGGGCUUUCUUGGAAGCAAGUCUGAGAUGGAGUUUGGAUAGCAGAAUGCUUAUUAAAAAGUAUCUUUGGAAUCAAGACCUGUAGAAAGAUGGGAAAGAAAGGAAAGCGGACAGAGGAGUAUUUGAGCUGUGAUGCAGACCCAACAAGACCCUCACCUGGUUCC